UUAUUAUAGAGAGUGUACUGAAAAAUCAUACAGGAACGGAGGACGACGUGUGCCAGGCAAUAAAAAAAAUUUUAAAAUAUGCGCCUGAUCGAAAAGGUGGCAGCGGGAGAAAGUAAAAACAUAGUUGAUACAAAAUAACGACCAUGGUUUGGAAGGCCGGUAAACUUCAAAGAGUCACUUACUCAAACUUUAACUGAUGUUGAAAUCUGGGUAAACGAGAUUCCGAGUGCACAAAUGUUAUCUUGCGUUGAUAUAAUAUUAAAAUAUUAAUGUUUAGCCACAGAAGUCGCUUUUCAAUUGGACAAUCGUUUCGUUAUACAUAAUCCGAGUGCACAAAUCUUCAGCGUACACCAACAUAUAUAGAACAGUGACUUUUGUCAAGCUUCCAAACCAUGGUUAUUUUCUAUUAAUCACGAUAACGUUAAAUAAUUUUAAAAGACUAUAGACUUUGAUAUAUAAAUUAUAUUUUGAUGAAAUUCAAAUUAGUGUUAAUGCUUGAAAAAGCCCUGUACCCCAUAUGUGUUCCUUCUGCCUUAUUCCUAACCCAUGGGAGACGCAGUGCGUUCGAUGCAUUAAACUAAUUUGAAUUUCAUCUAAAUAUCAUUUUUAAUACCGUUUUUUUGACUUUCAUCUAAAUAUAAUUAUUAAUACCGUUUUUUUGACACGCUGUGUGUAAUAACGAUCUGGAUAGCAUCAAUUAAUAACUUUGUGUGUAGUAG